rnacentral:rRNA from 1 species
UGCCAGCCGCCGCGGUAAGACGGAGGGUGCAAACGUUGCUCGGAAUCACUGGGCAUAAAGCGCACGUAGGCGGCCUGUUAAGUCUCGCGUGAAAGCCCCCGGCUCAACCGGGGAACUGCGCGGGAUACUGACAGGCUCGAGGACGGUAGGGGUGAGUGGAACUCCAGGUGGAGCGGUGAAAUGCGUAGAUAUCUGGAGGAACACCAGUGGCGAAAGCGACUCACUGGACCGUCUCUGACGCUGAGGUGCGAAAGCCAGGGGAGCGAACGGGAUUAGAUA